rnacentral:misc_RNA from 1 species
AAAAGAGAAGAUAUUUGCAGUUAUGCCCAAGUUAUGCAAUCCAAAUGUUUCUCUGUUUAAAGUUGGCAGUAAUUCAUGGAUUUUAGAUAGUGGAGCUUCUGAGCAUAUAACCUCUAACAAAAUCUGCCUAAACCUAUUUUGGCUACUCUUCCUAAUUCACAUAGAGCUACUGUGACUCAUUCGGGAUCUGUGAAACUCUUACCUAAUUUAAUUCUUCACAAUGGCCUCUAUAUUCAAUCUUUCAACUGGCCCUUCACCGAAGAGACCUCUGGAGGUUGGUAAGGAAUAAGGAGGUCUAUACAUUUUCAAGUCUAUUCAACAAGCAGUUUCUAAUAGACUUUUU